rnacentral:rRNA from 1 species
AUUCCAGCUCCAAUAGCGUAUAUUAAGGUUGUUGCAGUUAAAAAGCUCGUAGUUGAAUUUUGGGCUCAGCGGGUCGGUCCACCUAACGGUGCGUACUGAUUUGCUGGGCUCCACUUUUUGGGUGUCACGUCUGCUCUUAACCGGGUGGGCGUGAGGUCCAAGACUUUUACUUUGAAAAAAUUAGAGUGUUCAAAGCAGGCUUUCGCUUGAAUACAUUAGCAUGGAAUAAUGGAAUAGGACUUUGGUUCUAUUUUGUUGGUUUAAAGAACCAAGGUAAUGAUUAAUAGGGACAGUUGGGGGCAUUAGUAUUUCGGGGCUAGAGGUGAAAUUCUUGGAUUCCCGAAAGACUAACUACUGCGAAAGCAUCUGCCAAGGAUGUUUUCAUUA